CCUACGGGAGGCAGCAGUGGGGAAUAUUGCACAAUGGGGGAAACCCUGAUGCAGCGACGCCGCGUGAGUGAAGAAGGAAUUCGUUAUGUAAAGCUCUAUCAGCAGGGAAGAAAAUGACGGUACCUGAGUAAGAAGCUCCGGCUAACUACGUGCCAGCAGCCGCGGUAAUACGGAGGGGGCAAGCGUUAUCCGGAUUUACUGGGUGUAAAGGGAGCGUAGACGGCAGUGCAAGUCUGGAGUGAAAGGCUGGGGCUCAACCCCCGGACUGCUCUGGAAACUGUACGGCUGGAGUGCAGGAGAGGUAAGUGGAAUUCCUAGUGUAGCGGUGAAAUGCGUAGAUAUUAGGAGGAACACCAGUGGCGAAGGCGGCUUACUGGACUGUAACUGACGUUGAGGCUCGAAAGCGUGGGGAGCAAACAGGAUUAGAUACCCGAGUAGUC
rnacentral:rRNA from 1 species